CCCUUUUUUUCUCAUUUUCUAGACGGCAAAAUUUAAUCUAGUACCCUCCCCGACAACCCCAACACUCCCCAUCCCUCCUUCUGCCGGCGUCCUCUUCUGCUCCCCUACUCAUCUUCUUUUUUUCCCCCCUCUGCUUCCUUCUUCCCUGCUACUUUUUUUAUUUUUUUCAAACCGUCACAUUCAAAGAGAUGCAAAUUUCCUUAGAGCUGGGACCUGAUGGAGUUGCAGUGACUGUGAAAGGGUUUGGAGAAAGUAUGUGCAUGGAGGGUGGGUGGAGCCACUUCUCUGCUCUUUGGUCAGUCUGACCACAUCGCCUGUGAAACUGCGAAUGGGCUAAAGCUCAGCAUGGGGUGACACUGCCAAGCACAUUGAAGAGAGCACUAGUAAAGAUGGAUUACAUGUGAACAGAUCUUUGACAAGCCGAGCGACAACCAUGCAGGCAGCAGCAGACAGUAGGAGACAAAGAAGUGAGGAGCCCAGUGGGACGUCCAUGGAGGAAAGAGGAGGAAACAGGAGCUGGAACACAGGUUUGCCCUGGCUUCCCUGUCCGACCCGUAGGCAAGGUUGUGACUGCAGCCAUGUUGUCAUCCGUGGUUCUUGGUUGUUAUACACUCUGAUUUGAUGCGGUGAAGCAUCUUUGACAAGCUCCAGGACUGUCUCCUCCUGAUGGAGGGACGUCCGCACGCUCAAGAACACUGCAUGUCCUUCCAAAGUGAUCUCUUCAAACAACAUUAUAACAAUUUGGUGAUGGUCUGUUGAUUUCCUUAAAACUCCCACAAUGUAAAUAUUG